UACAGAGGGGGCAAGCGUUGUUCGGAAUUACUGGGCGUAAAGGGCGCGUAGGCGGCCUGCUAAGUCGAACGUGAAAUCCCCGGGCUCAACCCGGGAACUGCGUCCGAGACUGGUUGGCUCGAAUCCGGGAGAGGGAUGUGGAAUUCCAGGUGUAGCGGUGAAAUGCGUAGAUAUCUGGAGGAACACCGGUGGCGAAGGCGACAUCCUGGACCGGUAUUGACGCUGAGGCGCGAAAGCCAGGGGAGCAAACGGG
rnacentral:rRNA from 1 species